rnacentral:rRNA from 1 species
GAUGAACGCUGGCGGCGUGCCUAAUACAUGCAAGUCGAGCGAACAGACGAGGAGCUUGCUCCUCUGACGUUAGCGGCGGACGGGUGAGUAACACGUGGAUAACCUACCUAUAAGACUGGGAUAACUUCGGGAAACCGGAGCUAAUACCGGAUAAUAUAUUGAACCGCAUGGUUCAAUAGUGAAAGACGGUUUUGCUGUCACUUAUAGAUGGAUCCGCGCCGCAUUAGCUAGUUGGUAAGGUAACGGCUUACCAAGGCAACGAUGCGUAGCCGACCUGAGAGGGUGAUCGGCCACCCUGGAACUGAGACACGGUCCAGACUCCUACGGGAGGCAGCAGUAGGGAAUCUUCCGCAAUGGGCGAAAGCCUGACGGAGCAACGCCGCGUGAGGGAUGAAGGUCUUCGGAUCGUAAAACUCUGUUAUUAGGGAAGAACAAAUGUGUAAGUAACUAUGCACGUCUUGACGGUACCUAAUCAGAAAGCCACGGCUAACUACG